rnacentral:rRNA from 1 species
AAAACAUAUUUAAUAGAAUUAAUUAUUAAUACUACCUGCUCAAUGAAAUUAAAUAGCCGCAGCUCAUACUGUGCUAAGGUAGCAUAAUCAUUUGUCUUUUAAUUAAAGACUAGAAUGAAAGGUUUAACAUUUAAAUUAUUUUAAAAAUAUUCUACAUUAAUUUAUUUUAAAUGUAAAAAAACAUUUAUUUUUUAGAAAGACGACAAGACCCUAUUGAACUUUACUGAAGUUUAACUGGGGCAGUUAAUUAAAUAAUAUUUUAAUUAUUUAUUUCAUAAAAAUGACCCAAUCUAAUUGAUUAAAUGAUCAAGCUACCAUAGGGAUAACAGCGUAAUAUUUUCUUAUAGAUCGUAUUUAAAAAAAUGUUUACGACCUCGAUGUUGAAUUAAUUAUUCUAAUAAGUGCAUCAACUUAAAAAGAAAGUCUGUUCGACUUUUAAAUAAUUACAUGAUCUGA